rnacentral:lncRNA from 1 species
AGUAAGUAAGGGUUGUCCAUUUCUAUUUAGGUUUCGUCCUACAGACAACAUUCCUCUGAUACCACUUCUGUCACACCCGGACUUUAAGGAACAAAGCCGGGUGCAUCUCAUACAUGCGCCAAAGAAGACAACAUAUAUAAUAACAGAGUGUAUAGAGCUAAAUGUCACAAUAAUCAGAGUAUUUAUUACACAGCGGAAGUCUUACAAAAUAAAAGAUAAAUAUGAAAGGAUCUAAAAUAUAUCCUUGGCGCCAGAAAGUCAACUGGGAGACGCCACCUAGAUCGAAUCGAACUCCCCGUUGUGUGGCUCCUCUUGAAUCACCUGUUCUUCUCCUGUGGGGGGGUGUGAGACAGCAAGGGUGAGCUCACACAUGUUCAUCGCUCAACAAGUUGUGGGGAAUAAUGUGACAUGAACUCACCAAAGGUGGGAGUUCAUGUGAUGUGUAAGGCUGAUCAACAAUAGGGGUUAAAGCUGAGCAUUGCUUUUAAUAAGUUGGUCAAAUUUUAUUAGCAGUUACUAAAUGUAAGUAAAUACCAAACCAUAAUAAAUAAUAAUAGAACAAAAUUAAUAAUAAAUCCCAUGCAAUGCAUAUGAAAAAUUGAGUUUAAGUUUCAUAAAUUAAUCAUGCGAGACUCCUGAGCUGCUCAUGAGUGUGAGCUCGGCUAGUAUACCAGUUUUACACUCUGCAAAGGUUGUACCCUGUACCCACAAGUCGUGUAUCCCAUGUCGCCAAGGUUAGCUAGACCCUUAGACACUACCGAGGUGAAUGGCUAGGGAUCCACGACGAGGCCUUUAAAAAGUUCCACUAGCUUCCGAAAACCCACUACAGUUUAUGGGAAGAGCACUUGCAAGAAUCCCUCGUCUGACCGCCAUCGCAGCAAAAUCAACCCGAGAACCUCCUUGCAUGCAACUCCCCUACUUCCCUUGCCCCUUUCGGGUAAGGUAGUCUUCCACUAGCUUUCCUAAUUAAUUAGCCAAGGGCGUCCCAUUCUACCUUUGUGGUGGCACGUGUUUCUCAAGUUAAGCUCCAUGUUCCAAUUAAAGAUAAUGAUCUUGACAUGAACAUAAAUAAAAUAACAGAAUAAUUGGAACAUGGAUAUAAUGAAAUAUUAAUACCAAAACCAUGUAAUGCAAUAGCAUAACUACCCAAGUGAAGCAGGGUAAACAAGGUAAACAGGAUAAACAGAUUGGGUCCCAUCAACAUUAAACAUAUGCAUUGAAUAGUGAUAAUAAAGAAUAUUAUUGGGUAACAAAAGUGAAUCAAGAGCACAACUUGCAUGGCACUUAAGAUUCCAGUUACCAGGAUGAUUCUUCAAAUUUUCGUGACCUCACGCUAGUCGUAGCAAUACAAAAAGACAUGGUAUAGACAAAAUUAACAUCACACCAAACAUAAGUACAAACUGAAUAAUAAUAAUUUACGCGUUGCUACGAGAUCGUGGGAACGGGAACCACUAAAAUCUUAGUUACGAUUAAGGAGUUAUAGAAGAUCUAUGUGAUUAAAAUAUUAAACUAUAUUAUAAAUUGGUUAAUAUAAAUCAUAUGAGAGGUUAUUCUAUAAAUAAUUAUCUUCCAAACUAGUUGAAUGGUUGAUAAAUUGUCUAUUUGGUUUGAAAAGGAGUUUAUCAACCUACUAUUUAACGGUAAGGAAAGGCUGAACUACUUAGUUACUAAACUAGUAUUGAUCCCUUAACGGAACGGAGCUUAGAUCAACAAGAAGUAAAACACUCGUUCGGUCACUACAGAGAUGAACACCCUCAGGAUUGUCGGGUAUUCUUCUCCUCCGCUCCCUUCACUUCUCAAACAAAACAAACUAAAAAUCAUACCUGUCCGGGAGGUGAAGCAGAGGAAGGGAAGCCCUCGCCCUAACGAUAUGAUGACGAAAGGCAUGGCAACUAUAGCUCUGUUCGGGGGGAGGUUCUACCAACUCCAUAGGUUAGAGUGUCCCCUCCCCCCCUAUGGUAGCUUCACCUCCCUAUCGGAAUGGCCUCCACUCGGGCUUGACCUCGUUCCGGUCUUACCCUCCCUCGAGUCCUGUCGUAAGAAAGCGCUCUUAGUUCAGUUCGGUAGAACGUGGGUCUCCAAAACCCAAUGUCGUAGUUUCAAAUCCUAGAGAGCGUGAUUCUUUUCUUGUUAUGUAAAAUAAAAAAAGAUUAGAACAGUCUCUAUUUAUAUAAGAUCAUAAUAGUAAUUGUGUUUCGGUAUGUGUUGAAUAUGCUCAAUAAGGGAGUUUUUAUUUAUAUAAGAUCAUAAUAGUAAUUGUGUUUCGGUCUAAGUUAUAAAUUGAUCAUAUAUCAUUUUCUAUUACAUUGAUAAGCAGAUUAACAAGACUAAUCAACAUAGGUUAAAUAAAGAUCUAAUUAUAAAAUAAUGAGACAUGGUACAAUAAAUGUUGUUUCUGCGUAGUAAAUACUUGUACGAGACUAACGCAACUUGAAUGGAUCAAAUCGGAGUUAUAGAUUUUAAGUUAUGAAUUUAUUAAGAUUAUAUGUGUUUUGUACAAGAUUAAAUAUGAUAUAAAUUUUAAUGUGACUUUUAUGUCAAAACAUAGGCAAUAGGUGAUAAAUAACAUUAUUACAAAAUUAUAGAAAUUGGAAUGUAUUGAUUUGAACUUCAUAUGAAUUUUAUAUGAAUUAAACAAGUUCAAGGAAUUGUUUUCACAUUAAAAAUUCCUUUUCUAAAUUAUUUUACAGGUUUUUCUCACUGUCUGGACUGGGUGCCAAUUUAACAGAAACACAGGGGCUAUGGAGCAAGUAUUCCUAAGACACAGAGCGCUGUUAACUGAACUGCGGGUUGAUAUAUAUAAAGUGCGGGGUCUCUUUAGGAAAAUGGCAUGGCGAAGAGGUAUCUGUUGAUAUGGGCCGUCAGAUCUAAGAUCAAGGGUUAGGAUUAGAUCCUACUUAAAAUGAAUCGGUAUGCAAUCGGGGCCAUUGGAUUUCUAAUGGACGCCUAGGAUUUUAAAAUACUCAGCUCAACUCAUGCCCGUCGGAUUAGAAUCUAACGGCGCCUGGCACAUCCGACCAAAUCACUACGUUUCAUCUAAUCCUAGCCCCACGUCGCACAAUCGACGACUCACACUAUCCCUUCCUCCUCACUGGCGACAGACACGGCGAACACGUCCUCGCACGACGGCGGAAUCACGGGAGGUCGCAAAUCCGGCCAUCCCGAGCGUCAUGCACCAAUUCACACGGCCUUCGAGAAAAUUACGACCCUUCGAUCCUAUUCCUCCCAUCAAUUUCUGUCGCCAACCAACGCAGACCCCGGUCCAUGGCACAGUCAAACUCACGGCGGGAAAUCGCUCCGAUGAGCAAUUACCGGUGCCCAUGGUCACUACUUCCAAAUCCGAAUGCUCCUAAGCGAUGCAGAAUUAAUGACGCGCACGCUGGAAGAGGUCUUACCGGUCGUCACGACGCGGAGAGCAUUCAGCCAUGAUGGAGCAUGGCCGCGGCGGCGCCGUGCACUCCGACGGCAAUUGGCCGGACUCAGGCCAUGGAGUUGGUCCCUCGCCGCGCAGUCCCCAUCCGUGAGACCCAUAGACUACCUCGGCCCGCCCAUAGAGGCAUAAGCCAAGGAACCGUGACCCUCUCCAUGCGGCGUCCACCGUUCUCUCCCUGCAAUGGUGGCUUGACAAUGGUGCUACCGGCUCGGAUGGAUUGAGGGGGAUGGUGGCGCGGGGCACUGCACUUUAUGGCUCACAGUAUGAGCCGCAUACCAAGGCAACGACUAUUGAAACGGCCGCCCGAGAACUCCGG